GUAAUCUUUAAAUCAGUCCAGAGAGACUGGCAAGAUUGUAAUUAGUAUGGAUAAUUAUGCCUAUUUGCAUAAAAGGUCUUGCUGUUAGCGAGACCUUUUUUAUG
rfam:Clostridium ultunense Esp genomic scaffold, CTLT_3033